AAGAAGUCAUGAGGCUAUUAUGCAUACAGAAUCCCCAAUAUCAGAACUGGCAGGGCAAUUAAAAUAGUCAGGUCAAUGUAACACCAAAGCUUUCAAUGAGAUGCUAGUAAAAUGACACCCAAGCACACCAAAAGUACAAAUAUAUUUCAGCGAUUCAUGAGAAUUGAAAAAGCUUGGUGACCAUGUAACAAUUCUGUGUCUCAAAAUUAACAAUAAUAGAAGAAGAAGCAGAAGCAGAAAUCCAGAACCAUCAAACAAAUAGAGGAAGAAGCUUCCCAUUACAUUUCUUAACAAAAUGGAAAAUAUUGGAGUGAAAAAUUCAGAAUCUAAUUACAAUACAUCCAUAAGUAGCCACUAUCUGUCCUUCAACUUUCAAAAACUCCACGUGUAAUCCUUAUUUCAUCAAGCUUAAAUAAGCAUAUAACCUCACAUCUAUUUAUUACAAUAACAAUUUUGCCAAACAUAUUUGUAGGAAUUAACUUCAUACUCACUUAUCUAUAUUAGAACAAUUUAUUUCUCCCAAAGUAUUUUUCAGAUAAUUUCUUUUCCCAGAAUUCAAAGUACAUAGCAAAAGGAGUUUAUAAAAGCUUUCCCUCAAAGAUUCUCUCAGAGGGAAAAAAAUGAAAACAAAAUAUCUAAUGGUCCAAGAAGGAUUAUGACAGAGUAACUUUCAAUUAAAUCAUAAAAUCCAAAUUUAUUCACGUGUUUUCCUUCAUAUUGUCAAACAACUCUAAACAAACCUACAUAAGUACAUAAUACCGGCACUACCACCACCACUGGUAUGUUGCAAUACUUUUGGCAUUGAAAGAAGAACAAUAACAUUGCAGAGCAUUUUUAAAGCAUUAAAUAAUCAUAAACCAGUCACCGGAAAGAAGUACAUGUUUUCUUCUCAUCAGGAGAUGUUAAGGAAGCAAAUGAAAAAUUGUAAUUUAAAGGGAUAUCCCAGGGCAAUAGUAAUACAACAAAAAACUGGAGAU
rnacentral:misc_RNA from 1 species